rnacentral:rRNA from 1 species
CCCUUAGAUGUUCUGGGCUGCACGCGCGCUACACUGAUGCACUCAACGAGUUUACGACCUUGCCCGAUAGGGUUGGGUAAUCUUUUUAAAAUGCAUCGUGAUGGGGAUAGAUUAUUGCAAUUAUUAAACUUCAACGAGGAAUUCCUAGUAAGCGCGAGUCAUCAGCUCGUGCUGAUUACGUCCCUGCCCUUUGUACACACCGCCCGUCGCUCCUACCGAUUGAGUGCUCAGGUGAAUAAUUCGGACUGCAGCAAUGUUUGGAUCCCGAACGUUGCAGCGGAAAGUUUAGUGAACCUUAUCACUUAGAGGAAGGAGAAGUCGUAACA